ACGAGGGGCCUGAGCGUUAAUCGGAAUCACUGGGCUUAAAGGGCGUGCAGGCGGUUGGCUAAGUUCGUUGUGAAAGCGCCCAGGCUUAACCGGGCGAGGACAAUGAAGACUGGUCAGCUAGAGGACGGUAGAGGGGUGUGGAAUUCCGGGUGUAGUGGUGAAAUGCGUAGAUAUCACACGGAACGCCAGUGGUGAAGGCGGGUCACUGGGCCUGUCCUGACGCUGAGACGCGAGAGCGUGGGGAGCAAACAG
rnacentral:rRNA from 1 species